GACGAACGCUGGCGGCGUGCUUAAUACAUGCAAGUCGAACGGAAAGGCCCUGCGUUUGUUGGGUUCUCGAUUGGCGAACGGGUGAGUAACACGUGAGUAACCUGUCCUUGUCUUUGUGGUAACUUUAGGAAACUGGGGAUAAUACCGGAUAGGAGCUCCUGCUGCAUGGGGGGGGUUGGAAAGUUUCGGCUGUUGGGGAUGGACUCGCGGCUUAUCAGCUGGUUGGUGGGGUAGUGGCUUACCACGGCUUUGACGGGUAGGCGGCGUGAGAGGGUGGCCGGCCACCUUGGGCCUACGAUACGGACCAGACUCCUACGGGCGGCAGCAGUCGGAAGUCUUGCACAAUGGGCCCACGCCUGAUACAGCAACGUCGCGUGCGGGAUGCCGGCCUUCUGGUUGUAAACCGCUUUCGCCUGUGCCGAAGCGUUCGUGACGGUAAUGGGUAAAGAAGCACCGGCUAACUACGUG
rnacentral:rRNA from 1 species